AACGAACGCUGGCGGCAUGCCUAACACAUGCAAGUCGAACGAUUGCCUUCGGGUGUUAGUGGCGCACGGGUGCGUAACGCGUGGGAAUCUGCCCUUAGGUUCGGAAUAACAGCUGGAAACGGCUGCUAAUACCGGAUGAUAUCGCGAGAUCAAAGAUUUAUCGCCUGAGGAUGAGCCCGCGUUGGAUUAGGUAGUUGGUGGGGUAAAGGCCUACCAAGCCGACGAUCCAUAGCUGGUCUGAGAGGAUGAUCAGCCACACUGGGACUGAGACGCGGCCCAGACUCCUACGGGAGGCAGCAGUGGGGAAUAUUGGACAAUGGGCGCAAGCCUGAUCCAGCAAUGCCGCGUGAGUGAUGAAGGCCGUAGGGUUGUAAAGCUCUUUUACCCGGGAAGAUAAUGACGGUACCGGGAGAAUAAGCCCCGGCUAACUCCGUG
rnacentral:rRNA from 1 species